rnacentral:rRNA from 1 species
GAUGAACGCUGGCGGCGUGCCUAAUACAUGCAAGUCGAGCGAACAGACGAGGAGCUUGCUCCUCUGACGUUAGCGGCGGACGGGUGAGUAACACGUGGAUAACCUACCUAUAAGACUGGGAUAACUUCGGGAAACCGGAGCUAAUACCGGAUAAUAUAUUGAACCGCAUGGUUCAAUAGUGAAAGACGGUUUUGCUGUCACUUAUAGAUGGAUCCGCGCCGCAUUAGCUAGUUGGUAAGGUAACGGCUUGCCAAGGCAACGAUGCGUAGCCGACCUGAGAGGGUGAUCGGCCACACUGGAACUGAGACACGGCCCAGACUCCUACGGGAGGCAGCAGUAGGGAAUCUUCCGCAAUGGGCGAAAGCCUGACGGAGCAACGCCGCGUGAGUGAUGAAGGUCUUCGGAUCGUAAAACUCUGUUAUUAGGGAAGAACAAAUGUGUAAGUAACUAUGCACGUCUUGACGGUACCUAAUCAGAAAGCCACGGCUAACUACGUG